GUCUACUCUUCAUCUGGUGCUCCGCCUGCGCGGUGGUGCCAAGAAGAGGAAGAAAAAAACCUACACCAAGCCCAAGAAGCUGAAACAUAAGAAGAAGAAAGUCAAGCUCGCGGUGCUGCAGUUCUACAAGGUGGACGACUCUGGGAAGGUGCAGCGCCUCCGCAAGGAGUGCCCCAACCCGGAAUGCGGAGCCGGAACCUUCAUGGCCAAUCACUUCGACCGUCACUAUUGCGGCAAGUGUGGUCUGACUUAUGUUUACCAGAAGGCUGGUGCAGAGUAGAGCUCUUUACUAUAUGUAUCAGGCUGGUUGUCCGUAGGUUUGAGCUCGCAUGUGCUGGUGUCAUUCGAGGCAGUUUAUUUCAAUCGAAUUUUAACGUUUCAGGCAGCGUGAUCAU
rnacentral:lncRNA from 1 species